rnacentral:rRNA from 1 species
AUACGGAGGAUCCGAGCGUUAUCCGGAUUUAUUGGGUUUAAAGGGUGCGCAGGCGGGAGAUUAAGUCGGCGGUGAAAUUUUUCAGCUCAACUGGGAAAGAGCCUUCGGAACCUGGUUCCUUGAGUGUUGAUGGAGUAAGCGGGAUUUGGGGGGUGACGGUGAAAUGCAUAGAUAUCACGAGGAACUCCGAUUGCGCAGGCAGCUUACUAAACUACUACUGACGCUCAGGCACGAAGGCGUGGGGAUCAAACAGGAUUAGAUACCCUGGUAGUCCACGCAGUAAACGAUGAUUACUAGCUGUUUGCGAUACAAUGUAAGCGGCUGAGCGAAAGCGUUAAGUAAUCCACCUGGGGAGUACGUUCGCAAGAAUGAAACUCAAAGGAAUUGACGGGG